rnacentral:ncRNA from 2 species
CUCUUAUCGAGAGCGGCGGAGGGACUAGGCCCUGCGAAGCCCGGCAACCUUCAAGGUAAAUCCUUGAAAAGGUGCUAAUUCCUACAGAUCUUUGGUCUGAAAGAUAAGGG